UACGUAGGUGGCAAGCGUUAUUCGGAAUUAUUGGGCGUAAAGCGCGCGCAGGCGGUUUCUUAAGUCUGAUGUGAAAGCCCACGGCUCAACCGUGGAGGGUCAUUGGAAACUGGGAGACUUGAGUGCAGAAGAGGAAAGUGGAAUUCCAUGUGUAGCGGUGAAAUGCGUAGAGAUAUGGAGGAACACCAGUGGCGAAGGCGACUUUCUGGUCUGUAACUGACACUGAGGCGCGAAAGCGUGGGGAGCGAACAGG
rnacentral:rRNA from 1 species